rnacentral:lncRNA from 1 species
CCCUGCCGAGCACUCUGGGAGAUGGACCUGGUUGGACACUAGAGCUCCACCCUGCAGCUUCCAGGUGGGCUCAGUAGAUGGAGAUCCUGGAGGAGACUGUAGAGCAGCUGCUGGCACAGUUGUCCUGGAGCUACCUGGGCCCAGAUGCCCCAGCUCUCUCCAUGCAGACCAUUCUACCUACCUCUCCUCUCAUACUGGGCUCUCCGUGUAGCAGACUCAUGUCUGUCUUGUGCACUGCUGUGUUCCUGGCACCAUGGGGGAGCGUGGUGCAGAGCAAGUUUCCUCAGAUGGCCCUUUGUGGAUGGACUACAGGAGCAGAGAUGUGCAAGAAGCAAGUUUCAGAAGGAAUUCAAACCAAAAUGUAGAGUUUGAAGGCAACAGUGACCUUUGCAAUCAUACCUCCCUGUUAUUCAGUAACAAAGCCACCACCAUGUAUCAAGCACCCACAGGCCACACCUGUCUUCUGGACGAUUUUCGGGGCAUCAUAUUUCAAUGUUCUGUCCAUUUCCAGGCACAAAGUGCUUUCACUCACAUUCGGUCCUUGCUGCAACUGCAAGCCACUGAAGACAGGUGUGUCUGAUCCCAACGUGGAGCCCACAGUAACAGCAAGCAGCGACUGUUGCUUGUGCAGGAGGCCCUGUGUGCCACAUGUUGCUCUUCACUACUGAUCA